GUUCAAUUUCAGGUAUUUAUUUUUUUCGUUACCGUAUGGAACAAUUAUAGAUAUUUUUAAAUUAAUGUUGGAAAUUGGUUUCAAAAUGUAAUUAACUCAUUGUCAUCCGUAUUUAUGGUUAUAGAUCAGAGAGUAGAAGAUGAACAAGAGAUACAUGUCCCUAUGAGUAUGUUCUGAGUGUGGGCAACAAGAAGAAAUUCUGAGAAAUAAGGAUAAUGAAAACGAUAGAAAGGUAUUAGUAAUUCAAAUUCGUAACAAACGCUCGAUAAACUUUAUUUUUCCGUAUAUCACAUGGCACGAUCGGGAGCUUCCGAUCAAACGCAUAUAUAGCGAUCUGCAACGGUCGUAAUUUCCAUGUGCAUGCGUGUCAGA